GACGAACGCUGGCGGCGUGCUUAACACAUGCAAGUCGAACGGAAAGGCCCUGCUUUUGUGGGGUGCUCGAGUGGCGAACGGGUGAGUAACACGUGAGUAACCUGCCCUUGACUUUGGGAUAACUUCAGGAAACUGGGGCUAAUACCGGAUAGGAGCUCCUGCUGCAUGGUGGGGGUUGGAAAGUUUCGGCGGUUGGGGAUGGACUCGCGGCUUAUCAGCUUGUUGGUGGGGUAGUGGCUUACCAAGGCUUUGACGGGUAGCCGGCCUGGGAGGGUGACCGGCCACAUUGGGACUGAGAUACGGCCCAGACUCCUACGGGAGGCAGCAGUGGGGAAUAUUGCACAAUGGGCGGAAGCCUGAUGCAGCAACGCCGCGUGCGGGAUGACGGCCUUCGGGUUGUAAACCGCUUUCGCCUGUGACGAAGCGUGAGUGACGGUAAUGGGUAAAGAAGCACCGGCUAACUACGUGCCAGCCGCCGCCGUAA
rnacentral:rRNA from 1 species